rnacentral:lncRNA from 1 species
CUCAGAAAGAGAGUGAACAACUAGAAGAUGUGGAAGACCCAGUUUGGCUCUGGAGUCAAGAAUUCUCAAAACAGCUUUCUGAACUCUGAAUCGCAGUAAAGCUGGUGUUCUCCUGAAGCCAACACUUACGGUAUCACCUUGCUGAUCCAGGCAAAAUGGCAAAAGUGUAGUGAACAUAAAGCCAGGGGCUGAGAUUGUGGACGUCCUCUGUACCAAGUUUCUUAUUAUGGCAAGGGUAGAAGUUCACCAGGUCAGUAAUGUGAUUUUGUCUAAAGAGCCACUUCUGGAGAUCUAGCCUAAACAUUGCUCCUCCAACUCUUCCCAUAAUUUGUUAACAAUUGAAUAAUUGUUCUGUUUAAAAUAGUUUGGAUGUUUUAUGUUUUCUGCAACUUUACUGUUAUCAUAACAAAGACAUAAAUAAAGAUCUAAAUAAAGUCG